rnacentral:rRNA from 1 species
UACAGAGGUCUCAAGCGUUGUUCGGAUUCAUUGGGCGUAAAGGGUGUGUAGGUGCCGCCGUAAGUCGGGUGUGAAAUUUCGGAGCUUAACUCCGAAACUGCAUUCGAUACUGCGGUGCUUGAGGACUGGAGAGGAGACUGGAAUUCUCGGUGUAGCGGUGAAAUGCGUAGAUAUCGAGAGGAACACCUGCGGCGAAGGCGGGUUGCUGGGCUGAUACUGACGCUGAGGCGCGAAAGCUAGGGGAGCGAACGGG